GUUCAGUUCAAUUAGAGAAGCCAACUGUCACUCUUGCCUCACGAUGUUGUUUCAGUUUCUCUCAGACAGUAUGUUAUUGUGUUACAGUUUUCUUUAUUAUUGAAGAUUUGUUUGACAUAUACGUGAGCCGCUAACUUUGCUGAAAGGAAAAGAAACCCCGCUGAAGAACAGUGGAAUAUCCUAAACUGGGUGAGUUAGGGGAUAUUCCCAGUCUGACAGGAGGAUUGGGUUUUUUAAUCAGGAAAGAGAAAAACAAGUUGUUGGCCUGCUUAAAUCUCCAUGUUCAUCUUUUAUUUAGGUCAAAUGAAAGAUCAAAUAUUCAAAAUGAAUUUAAACUAUAUUAGAGGUUUGAGUUCUGAUCACUGAAAUAUAUCUAGCAUGGCACACAGCGUGCUGCCAACUUUGGUCAGGCCGACAAGGUCUAAUAGUCCUUAGAUCUUGCAUAUGCCAUAGAUUCGUUCUGAAGCUGAAGAAAGCAACAUAAUUAGAUGGCCUGAUGGGUACAGAUCUGUGUGCCUUCCUGAGGGAAGAAAUAAGGCCAUUGGGUCGAAAUCUGGAUGAAAAGUAACCAGGAAAAGCUAAAACUGGUUAUAAUGUUUCUGCAGAGCGGGGGCAGUGAAUGUGUUUCCCCCCUACCAUUCAAAUAUAAUAUCUGGACGUAUUUGAAUGACUAUUUCAUUUAUAUAUUGAGCCCAUCUCUACUGUCUACACUAUCUGCAAGGACAAUUAUAUAAUUCUGUUCCAAUGGCUACUACUGGAUUUUUGUAGUUUAGCAUUUCAAGACAGCAGUAAAAACAUGAGUACAAAAGUUCUGAGCCCAUAUAUAGUAUACCUUCCCCCCCUCAUAAUGGGAGAGAUAGGGUAUUGCAGAGCUAAGUAUAUACCAUGUGUUGUUGUUGCAGCUGCUGCUAUUACUUUUAAUUUAUGUAUCACCUUUCACAAGAGUCUCAAGCACACCAUAAAAGCAAUUAAAAUAGUUUUAAAAGCAAAACAAAAAAACACACCAAAGGUAGGUUUAAAACCAAUAGACAAUGAACACCUAAGGCUGAAAUCUUUUCAUCCAGCUGGAAAAGCUUGUUGUAACAAAAAUGUUUUUGGGAAGUACAAAUAUUGGCCACCCGCUGAAUCUCAUCAGGGAUAUUUUCCUACAAAACAGGGGCAGCCACAAACAGAAAGCCCUGCUUCAAGGUACGUAAUGUUGAGAGGACUUUUGAUGUUUUAGGUAAUUCAAGGAGAAUCCCUCCUGUAGAACACAGUUACCUACCAGUUAGCUGUGGGAUAAGGUAGUCUCUCAGAUAACCUGAGCUGUAUAGGAACUUAUAUGUUAGCACCAAAAGCUUGAACCUGGCCUGAUAACCGAUUGAUAGCUAAUGCAAAUCCCACAGACAAGGUGCAAUAUUCUGGCAGUCGUUUUCCCCAACAAACCACUGCAUUCUGCAUAAGCUGCAGCCUCUGGAUCAAUCACAAGAGUAGCCCUACAUAGAACACACUGUAGUAAUCCAACUUGGAAGUUACCAGUGCAUCGACAAUUAUGGUAAAGCUAUAGCAAUCCAGGCAUCAAAUUCUUGCAAUAUCAGCAAGGCAAAGGAGAUGGUGUUGGACAUUCAGAGGAAGAGAGGGGAACUAGCCCCAUUGUAUAUCGGGGGGCUGUAUGGAGACAGUCUCUUCCUUUAAAUUCCUGGGAGUCUACCUUUGUGAAGACCUCACUUGGAAAUUCAAUACAACCCAAGCGGUUAGGAAGGCCCAACAGAGACUUGAGAAAGACUUGAGAAAGAACAAUGUCAAACAAAAAUUGAUUAUCUCCUUCUAGCGGGCCACAAUAGAAAGUGUUCUCUCAUACUGUAUUACAGUGUGGUACGCUGGUUUGACAGCCACGGACAGGAAGUCCCUACAGAGGGUGGCGAAUACAGCACAUGACAUCAUGGGCUGUCCCCGGAGUUUGCUAGAUGACAUCGCGGGAGACCACUGCCUCAGGAGAGUGAGGAAAAUUCUUAGGGACGACUCACCCCCUGGCCAGCACUUCUUAAUUUCCUACCUUCAGGCAGGAAAUGCAGAAGUAUAGUCAGCCGCACAAACAUUUUUUAUUCAUGGGCUGUUGGGCUGCUGAAUGGAAAAAAAUAGUGGUGUAAUUGACUUCUGACAAGCACACAGAGCGCGAACAAGACUGAAUGUAUAGGGGGGGGGCUUGUUUAAUUUCACUGCACA
rnacentral:lncRNA from 1 species